rnacentral:rRNA from 1 species
UUCCCCUAGUAACUGCGAGUGAAGCGGGAAAAGCUCAAAUUUAAAAUCUGGCGGUCUUUGGCCGUCCGAGUUGUAAUUUAGAGAAGCGUCUUCCGCGCCGGACCGUGCACAAGUCUCCUGGAAUGGAGCGUCAUAGAGGGUGAGAAUCCCGUCUUUGGCACGGAUGCCUGGUGCUUCUGUGAUGCGCUCUCGAAGAGUCGAGUUGUUUGGGAAUGCAGCUCAAAAUGGGUGGUGAACUCCAUCUAAAGCUAAAUAUUGGCGAGAGACCGAUAGCGAACAAGUACCGUGAGGGAAAGAUGAAAAGCACUUUGGAAAGAGAGUGAAACAGUACGUGAAAUUGUUGAAAGGGAAACGCUUGAAGUCAGUCGCGUCGACCGAGACUCAGCCUUGCCUCGGCUUGGUGUACUUCUCGGCCCGACGGGUCAGCGUCAAUUUUGCCCCUCGGAUAAUGGCAAGGGAAAGGUGGCACCUUUACGGGUGUGUUAUAGUCUCCUGUCGCAUGCGAGGGGUGGGAUUGAGGAACUCAGCGCGCACCUUGGUGUCGGGGCUUCGGCCCACGUCACGCGCUUAGGAUGCUGGCGUAAUGGCUUUAAACGACCCGUCUUGAAACACGGACCAAGGAGUCCAACACGCCCGCGAGUGUUCGGGUGGAAAACCCGUGCGCGUAAUGAAAGUGAAAGUUGGGACCUCUGUCGUGGAGGGCACCGACGCCCGGACCAGACCUUCUGUGACGGAUCUGCGGUAGAGCGUGUGUGUUGGGACCCGAAAGAUGGUGAACUAUGCCUGAAUAGGGUGAAGCAGAGGAAACUCUGGUGGAGGCUCGUAGCGAUUCUGACGUGCAAAUCGAUCGUCAAAUUUGGGUAUAGGGGCGAAAGACU